rnacentral:rRNA from 1 species
UACGGAAGGCAGCAGUGGGGAAUAUUGCACAAUGGGCGAAAGCCUGAUGCAGCUAUGCCGCGUGUAUGAAGAAGGCCUUAGGGUUGUAAAGUACUUUCAUCGGGGAGGAAAAAACAAAACUAAUAAUUUUAUUUCUUGACGUUACCCGAAAAAGAAGCACCGGCUAACUCCGUGCCAGCAGCCGCGGUAAUACGGAGGGUGCUAGCGUUAAUCAGAAUUACUGGGCGUAAAGAGCACGUAGGUGGUUUUUUUAAAGUCAGAUGUGAAAUCCCUGGGCUUAACCUAGGAACUGCAUUUUGAAACUGAAAUACUAGAGUAUCGUAGAGGGAGGUAGAAUUCUAGGUGUAGCGGUGAAAUGCGUAGAUAUCUGGAGGAAUACCUGUGGCGAAAGCGGCCUCCUAAACGAAUACUGACACUGAGGGUGCGAAAGCGUGGGGAGCAAACGAGGAUUAGAUACC